GAUCAAGAAGAGAUGAGUCUGUUCUGCUUUCAUCUGGAUCUUCAUCAUCAUUAGACGAGUAGUCUUGAGAUAUCAGCCGGAGACAAAAAAAAAAUAAGAGGAUAGUGUUAGUAAGGGAGACACGUGAAGAGAAUGUUUUUUGUAGACAACAGAAGAGAGAAGACAGAAAAUUACUUUUGGAGAGAAAGGAGGAAUAGAAUUAGACACAAUCCAGACUCAAACCUCAAUAACCUACAUGAGCACCAAGGCUCAAGAUCUGGAGCAAGUGUGCAAACUGCAUUUUUGUAUAAUUUUUUGAACAGAAACAUACUGUGAUGAGGAGGAGGGCGUUGCUGGGCCGUGACGCUGCAUGGCCGGUGCUGAAUCAGCUGAUCAGCAGGAGCGCGAGAUAAAGUGGUGCCGAAACCCGGGAGGGAGGAUGGAUGCGCUGUCGUGGAGUCCUCGCCGAUGCUAUCCCCAAGAGGAGUAGCUGCGGCCAUCUGCCUGGGGAUGGAGGGGUCGCUGCCGCCGGGGCAGGAGCGAGAAGGCGUUUGCCAGAGGGAAGAGGAGAGCUUGAGGACCGGGCGACAGCAUGUCCGGGAGCCGGCGAGCAAGUUCUUCUCUCUCUCUCCUCUCUCUCUGUGUCUCCGCUAGCCCUUUCCCUCUCCUCAUGCCUCCCCUCGUCUCUCCCAGAGGUUCGCAGGAGGCGGGGUGGAUCACCGGCUGACAGAAUGGCCAGAAGGGCAGCAUCUUCCCUCCAGAUAGGGGGGAGUUGAUCAGACCGGUGGUGCCCCGGCCUGAAUCGGGCGAGGGAGGAGUGUGACAAGCUGAAUCCGCUGAUCAGCGAGAGAAAGGGGUGCCGAGGCACCGGUUUGGGAGAGAGAGAGACGCAUGCGGCCGUGUUGUAUGUAUGUCGGUGUACUUAUGUUUUAUGUUGUUUUAAGUUCAUUUAUAUCAUUAAAGAUUAUGUUUACUGUCCAGUCGGUUCCCGCCUCCUCGUUGCCCAACUUUACCUGUUACAGAUCAAUGGUAGCCUCCAACAAACAUACAGCUUCUCAGCUGGGCUCUCUCUCUCUUUCAGUGGACUGGGCCAUCUUUUAUCUACCCCAACUCUCACUGUGAACUUGAAAAUGUUACUAGUCACAAUUCAUCUCAGGUGGA